rnacentral:rRNA from 1 species
UGAAACCGUUCAGGGGUAAACCUGAGAAACCCAAAAGAUCGAAUGGGGAGAUUCAUCGUCAACGGCGCUGGCUCCCGUUGGUGCGCGAUGCUCCGGAUGGGCCCUUGCGGUUCCGUUAGCGAGGGCACGCCACCUUCGGCCUGAACGUUCCGGUGCCGUAGUCGUGCACUUCUCCCCUAGUAGAACGUCGCGACCCGUUGUGUGUCGGUCUACGGCCCGAGAGGGCGCCUGUCGCGUCGCCUCGCGCGCACGCGGCAGACCCUCGGUCGCCCGGCCGGCUGCACGACGGUACUCGCACGGUAUCGGGCCGCAACCAAUCCAUUCUCGAAUGUGUUUGCGUCUGUCCCGCCGCAGGCUCGGUCAGUUUUACCCGGAGGUACGGAGAUCAUGGCCGUCCCCGGGCCUGGCCAGCUGUUCGCAGGCGGAGUCCUCAGACUGGCCAAGCCUUGAAUUACCGGUCGGCGACGCUAUUGCUUUGGGUACUCUCAGGACCCGUCUUGAAACACGGACCAAGGAGUCUAACAUGUGCGCGAGUCAUUGGGAUUGAUUAAACCUAAAGGCGAAAUGAAAGUGAAAAUCGGCGUUCGCGUCGAUCGAGGGAGGAUGGGCCGCGUUGCUAUGCGGCCUCGCACUCCCGGGGCGUCUCGUUCUCAUUGCGAGGAGAGGCGCACCCAGAGCGUACACGUUGGGACCCGAAAGAUGGUGAACUAUGCCUGGUCAGGACGAAGUCAGGGGAAACCCUGAUGGAGGUCCGUAGCGAUUCUGACGUGCAAAUCGAUCGUCGGAACUGGGUAUAGGGGCGAAAGACUAAUCGAACCAUCUAGUAGCUGGUUCCCUCCGAAGUUUCCCUCAGGAUAGCUGGCACUCGGUCGUUCCUAUGUGAACAGACGCGAGUCUCAUCUGGUAAAGCGAAUGAUUAGAGGCCUUGGGGCCGAAACGACCUCAACCUAUUCUCAAACUUUAAAUGGGUGAGAUCUCUGGCUUGCUUGGAUCAUGAAGCCACGAGAUUUUGGAUCAGAGUGCCAAGUGGGCCAAUUUUGGUAAGCAGAACUGGCGCUGUGGGAUGAACCAAACGCAGAGUUAAGGCGCCUAAGUCGACGCUUAUGGGAUACCAUGAAAGGCGUUGGUUGCUUAAGACAGCAGGACGGUGGCCAUGGAAAUCGGAUCCGCUA